rnacentral:rRNA from 1 species
GAUGAACGCUGGCGGCGUGCCUAAUACAUGCAAGUCGAGCGAACGGACGAGAAGCUUGCUUCUCUGAUGUUAGCGGCGGACGGGUGAGUAAUACGUGGAUAACCUACCUAUAAGAAUGGGAUAACUUCGGGAAACCGGAGCUAAUACCGGAUAAUAUUUUGAACCGCAUGGUUCAAAAGUGAAAGACGGUCUUGCUGUCACUUAUAGAUGGAUCCGCGCUGCAUUAGCUAGUUGGUAGGGUAACGGCUUACCAAGGCAACGAUGCAUAGCCGACCUGAGAGGAUGAUCGGCCACACUGGAACUGAGACACGGUCCAGACUCCUACGGGAGGCAGCAGUAGGGAAUCUUCCGCAAUGGGCGAAAGCCUGACGGAGCAACGCCGCGUGAGUGAUGAAGGUCUUCGGAUCGUAAAGCUCUGUUAUUAGGGAAGAACAUAUGUGUAAGUAACUGUUCACAUCUUGACGGUACCUAAUCAGAAAGCCACGGCUAACUACGUG